GCAUUUUGAACCUAAUUUGAAAUAAGUUGGGCCUAUUUCCUUAACCCUCCCUCUCAUCUCUUGUUCAUUCUUGUUCUUUUAAGGGCGAAAAAAAAUCUUCAGAUCUUUUAGUGUUCUUUCUUUAGGCUUACUCAGUUUUUUUCCCUCCCCUCCCAAACUCAUCUCCUGAAAAAUAAUUUUUUAUGAGUAUUUAUUGUGAUCACUAGCUUUCCAGUUAUUGUCAGUUGAAGCAGGCCCUGUCCUGGUUAUCCUGAGUGUUCCGUCACUUGUUUUUAUCCACUAUGGCAAAAAUGGAUUAUGUGAUCUUAUGGCCAUCACCCAAUUUAUUAGAACUUCCUAUCAUUUUUAGUAUGUAGCUUCCUGGAAUUUUUUUUUUCCCUGGUUCAGACCUGCUUGAGGCCUUAUUACAUCUAUAGUGCCAAAG
rnacentral:lncRNA from 1 species